UCUUCCACGGUGACCAACCGGGUUGGA
rnacentral:sRNA from 1 species